AUUGAACGCUGGCGGUAUGCUUAACACAUGCAAGUCGAACGGUAACAGGCCUUCGGGCGCUGACGAGUGGCGGACGGGUGCGUAACGCGUAGGAAUCUGCCGAUUAGUGGGGGACAACUUGGGGAAACUCAAGCUAAUACCGCAUACGCCCUAUGGGGGAAAGCGGGGGACCUUCGGGCCUCGCGCUAAUCGAUGAGCCUGCGUUGGAUUAGCUAGUUGGUGGGGUAAAGGCCUACCAAGGCGACGAUCCAUAGCUGGUCUGAGAGGACGAUCAGCCACACUGGGACUGAGACACGGCCCAGACUCCUACGGGAGGCAGCAGUGGGGAAUAUUGGACAAUGGGCGCAAGCCUGAUCCAGCAAUACCGCGUGUGUGAAGAAGGCCUGAGGGUUGUAAAGCACUUUUAAUCGGGAGGAACACCUGUAGGCGAAUACCCUGCAGUAUGACAUUACCGAUAGAAAAAGCACCGGCUGACUCCGUGCCAGCCGCCGCCGUAAUAC
rnacentral:rRNA from 1 species